CCUACGGGAGGCAGCAGUGGGGAAUAUUGCACAAUGGGGGAAACCCUGAUGCAGCGACGCCGCGUGAGUGAUGAAGUAUUUCGGUACGUAAAGCUCUAUCAGCAGGGAAGAAAAUGACGGUGCCUGACUAAGAAGCCCCGGCUAACUACGUUCCAGCAGCCGCGGUAAUACGUAGGGGGCAAGCGUUAUGCGGAUUUAUUGGUCUUAAAGGGUGCGUAGGCGGAUUGUUAAGUCAGAGGUAAAAGGCCGGGGCUCAACCCCGGCGCGCAGUUGAAACUGGCUGUCUUGAGAUGUCGAGAGGUAUGCGGAAUUCGAAGUGUAGCGGUGAAAUGCGUAGAUAGUGCGAAGAACUCCGAUGGCGAAGGCAGCAUACCGGCUGCGAUCUGACGCUGAGGCACGAAAGCGUGGGUAUCGAACAGGAUUAGAUACCCUUGUAGUC
rnacentral:rRNA from 1 species